AGCCUCCGUGGGCGGAGCUCUCGGCGCACCCCCUCUUUUGCCCUGCCCUCCUUCUCUUUCCACCCACCCACCCCGACACCCCUCGUCCCUCCCCCAACCACCCUGAACGGAUAGACAGGUGAGCAGGUGCAUGGGGACCAAUGCCAGACCCUGGGGCAAGCUGGUAGAGGCAGGGCGGGUAGUGGCUUCCUUGUACUUUUUCCCUUGAGGGUGGAUUCUCCCUGUGGGGAAGGACACGGUGAGUGUGUGUCUUGUCUUCUCUGCCUCCUCCUCCUUCCUUCAAUAUCCUUUUGCUAAGAGAAGGUUCAUCAUCUUCGUCUUCAUCAUUGCAUCCAGAAGCUGCCACUGCCAGUGCCACGUGCCUUGCAAGGUAGGGGAGUGGCAGACGACCUCUUUCUGCCCCUCUUCGCCCUUCCUCGCAGCACUGCCCGCCUAGCCUCCCAACCCCCUUAUUUCCCAAAUAAAAAGUGACUGGCAAAGCAGAAACAAACGCACCAGGGGGAAAGAUCUUGCAUUGUCGGGGAAGGAUACAGAUGGAGUGUAAUGGGUCUUUUUCUACAGCCAUGAAAGAGUCUGACACCUGCAGACACAGGCGCGACUUAAAAUAGAACUUGUCAAACAGUGAUCCGCUCUGGAUGGAGCUCUGAACAACAAACAGCUCUUGAACUCACCUACCAGCCUAAGAAGGCUGCACUGAGUGACACUAUAGGUAGUUUGGUGGGAGCUACAAAUGCCACAUUUCAAAAAUCCCUUGCGAUCUUCAGGUCAUGGCUUCUCCAGCUCCCUGACUUCCCGGAGUGUUCCCAUCCCAAGUGUUUUCCUCCAGAAAACACUGGGCUCACCUAUGGAUUUAUUUUUAUCACUUAAAAAAUCAAGAUUGAAUCAUGAAUCACGCGUUUGACAGCCUUCUGUUCUAAAGAAGCAGCACCAGCAUACCUGAGGCCGAGGUGAGCAGAGCUCUGACCUCAAAGCAACAGAGAUGCAGCGGAAAUAGGAAUAUAAGGCCUUGGAAGGGAAGCCUAUGCAGUGUAUGUGGCCACCACAGAUGGCCCCAUGAAAUGAUGGUGUCAACGCGGAGCACUUUGUAAACUAUAAAAUGUUCUACAAAUAUGUGUUGUUAAAUAAAUGGGUCUCACCGAGAUGUUCUGAAAGUCCAGG
rnacentral:lncRNA from 1 species